rnacentral:rRNA from 1 species
AUUGAACGCUGGCGGCAGGCUUAACACAUGCAAGUCGAGCGGAUGAAGGGAGCUUGCUCUUGGAUUCAGCGGCGGACGGGUGAGUAAUGCCUAGGAAUGUGCCUGGUAGUGGGGGAUAACGUCCGGAAACGGGCGCUAAUACCGCAUACGACCUGAGGGAGAAAGUGGGGGAUCUUCGGACCUCGCGCUAUCAGAUGAGCCUAGGGCGGAUUAGCUAGUUGGUGGGGUAAAGGCCUACCAAGGCGACGAUCCGUAACUGGUCUGAGAGGAUGAUCAGCCACACUGGAACUGAGACACGGUCCAGACUCCUACGGGAGGCAGCAGUGGGGAAUAUUGGACAAUGGGCGAAAGCCUGAUCCAGCCAUGCCGCGUGUGUGAAGAAGGUCUUCGGAUUGUAAAGCACUUUAAGUUGGGAGGAAGGGCAGUAAGUUAAUACCUUGCUGUUUUGACGUUACCCGCAGAAUAAGCACCGGCUAACUUCGUG